UUCUCCUCUAUAUAUAUAUAUAUAUAUGUACAACAACCAUUCCUCUUACACCUAUCUCCACAAUUUCUUGACCAAAAACAAUGGCCACUUUCUCUCUGGUUUCAUUCUUUUUUUCCCCCAAAUGAUACACAUUUUGAUUUUAUUUAAGCCAAGACCAACGUAUACGCUCACCACCAUUCAUAUUAAAAGGUUUUGUUUGUAUACAUAUAUUCCAUAUAUAUAAGGAUUUAUAUAUAGUCGUGCCUGGCUCCCUGUAUGCCACAAGAAAACAUCGAUUUAGUUACAAAAUCGAUCACUAGUGGCGUACAGAGUAGUCAAGCAUGACCAAAACUUUUCUUGAUAUAUAAGUACUGUGUCUCCAUAAAACAGCUACGUACUAUGCAUGGAUGGUACGUCUAAUUGUCUAUAAGCUUUCUGUUAAAUAUAUAUGCAUGGAUAUUGGAUUGUGCUUGGGUCUCGAGUGCUCUUUUUUUGUGGUACUCAUAUCUUCAUCAUUUUUCAAACAUUCUUUAUUUUGGCAAUGUUCCAUUCGUUUUAGUAAUUAAAAAAAAAACGCUAACGGUUUGAUAUUCAUUUUGUUUGCAAUUAUUUAUGGCGGUCAAAAGUACGUUGAACAAUCGUUGAGUUUGUCGGCAAAAUUUUAUUUUAUCACGUGACCUUCCAGCUCAUCAGUCAUCAAGAGGGUCUAAGCCUGGUCAAAGCUUUAGAAUGAGUUAGAGGUUCUUGACAAAGUGAAUGCUCCUUUUCCUCCGAGCGGGUUUUAGAAGACAUUGCAUGCGAUGUGUUGUAUGUUGUCUCUCUUGUGUGACAGAAGAAACAGAGAACACAACACAUCUGUCUCGCCUUUUCCUUUCAUACAUUUGUGUCCUUCCCAAAUUUCUACUCUUUUUUGUUUUUUAAUGUUUCUUUCCUCAAAAUCAUCGACACUGAUUAGAGACUAUACUUCUAGAGGUAUGUAUGUAAAGUAAAUUAAUCAAUAUUUACAAAUUGUAUUAUUAUAAUAUUGGAACAUCGAAUUUACGUUGUAAGUGGAUCAAUGAUAUUUGAUAGAUUUAUGUCU